GCACUGCUGAAGAGUCCACAAUAGGACGAAACGGUGGUCCAAUGC
rnacentral:hammerhead_ribozyme from 1 species